rnacentral:rRNA from 1 species
ACGUGCCAGCAGCCGCGGUAAGACGUAGGACGCGAGCGUUAUCCGGAUUUACUGGGCGUAAAGCGCCUGCAGGCGGUCAGGUAAGUCGGUUGUGAAAGCCCCGUGCUCAACGCGGGGAGGCCAAGCGAUACUGCGUGACUUGAGGGCGGAAGAGGGGAGUGGAAUUCCCGGUGUAGCGGUAAAAUGCGCAGAUAUCGGGAGGAACACCAGUGGCGAAGGCGGCUCCCUGGACCGCACCUGACGCUCAGAGGCGAAAGCUAGGGGAGCGAACAGGAUUAGAGACCCUGGUAGUCCUAGCCCUAAACGCUGGAUGCUAGGUGUAGGGCUGAUGAGGCUCUGUGCCGGAGCGAACGCGAUAAGCAUCCCGCCUGGGAACUACGGCCGCAAGGCUAAAACUCAAACGAAUUGACGGGGACCCGCACAAGCAGCGGAGCGUGUGGUUUAAUUCGAUGCUACACGAAGAACCUUACCUGGGUUUGACAUGCUGGUGGUACCGAACCGAAAGGGGAGGGACCCUUCGGGGAGCCAACACAGGUGCUGCAUGGCUGUCGUCAGCUCGUGCCGUGAGGUGUCGGGUUAAGUCCCGUAACGAGCGCAACCCUUGCUCUUAGUUAUACGUGUCUAAGGGGACUGCCGGCGACAAGCCGGAGGAAGGUGGGGAUGACGUCAAGUCAGCAUGGCCUUGAUAUCCAGGGCUACACACACGCUACAAUGGCCGGUACAAAGGGCAGCCAAGCCGCGAGGUGGAGCGAAUCCCAGCAAAGCCGGUCCCAGUUCGGAUUGCAGGCUGCAACCCGCCUGCAUGAAGUUGGAGUU